rnacentral:rRNA from 1 species
AUGGAGGCCAGCCGGAUCAGUGUGGCGCGACACACCACACCGGAGCUUGCUGCUGUGCUGGUCGUCGACAACGACGCAACUCCGACGGGACCUAGACGCCCAAGAGAGAGAAGGAAGAUGGCGGACAAGGGGAUGGCCAACUGCAUCGACAUCAUCCUCGCCAUCAUCCUGCCGCUGCUCGACGUCUUCCUCAAGUUCGCCUGCGGGAUCGAGUUCUGA